rnacentral:rRNA from 1 species
GAAUAUUCGACAAUGCACGAAAGUGUGAUCGAGCGAUGCCGCGUGCGGGAAGAAGGGCUUCGGCCUGUAAACCGCUUUUGUCAGGGAAGAAUUUUGACGGUACCUGAAGAAUAAGGGGUUGCUAACCUCGUGCCAGCAGCAGCGGUAAUACGAGGACCCCAAGCGUUAUCCGGAAUUACUGGGCGUAAAGCGUGAGUAGCCGGUUUUGUUAGUCUGAUGUUAAAUCUUGAGGCUCAACUUCGAGACCGCAUUGGAAACGGCAAGACUAGAGUGGGUAAGAGGCAGACGGAACGUGCAGUGUAGGGGUGAAAUCCAUUGAUAUUGCACGGAACACCAAAAGCGAAAGCAGUCUGCUGGUGCUCUACUGACGGUCAAUCACUAAAGCGUGGGGAUCAAAAAGGAUUAGAUACCCUUGUAGUCCACGCCCUAAACAAUACACACUAGCUAUUGGGAGCAUCGACCCUUCCAGUGGCGAAGCCAACGCGUUAAGUGUGUCGCCUGGGAAGUACGAUCGCAAGAUUAAAACUCAAAGAAAUAGCCGGGAAUUUGCACAAGCGGUGGAUCAUGUGGUUCAAUUCGACACUGAGCGAGGAACCUCACCAAGGCUUGAAAUCCAAGUGUAAGCCCUAAGAAACUAGGGCCCUCGCAAGACUCUUGGACAGGUGCUGCACGGCUGUCGUCAGCUCGUCAUGUGAAUGGUUUCCUUAAGUGGAUUAACGAGCGCAACCCUUAUCGUCUGUUAUAUUUGUCAGGCGAGACUGCUCGCGUAAGCGAGAGGAAGGUGAGGAUGACGUCAAGUCAGCGUGGCCCUCUGAUGCCUUGGGCUACACACAUGAUACAAUGGAUGUUACAAUGGGUCGCCAAACCGCGAGGUGGAGCUAAUCCCAUCAAAGGCAUCCCCAGUUCGGAUAGGAGGCUGAAACUUGCCUCCUUGAAGCCGGAAUUGCUAGUAAUCGCAGAUCAGCAUGCUGCGGUGAAUACGUUCUCGAAUUUUGCACUCACUGCCCGUCAAGUCAAGGGAGUCGGUAAUACCUGAAGACCCAUAUUAUACAUGGGGACACGGUAGGAUCGAUGACAGGGACUAAGUCGUAACAAGGCAAGGGUAGCGGAAGCUGCUCUUGGAUCACCUCCUUUCU